rnacentral:ncRNA from 2 species
ACAAAACACUAGGGAUGUUGCCGUGAGCAACUGAGAUGGGCCUGUUGGGCUCGGCCCCUUGGAACCUGUAAGUUAGUGCUUGCGUAGGGAAUGUGUGCUUAGAUGAUC